GAUGAACGCUAGCUACAGGCUUAACACAUGCAAGUCGAGGGGAAACGCCAUCGUAAGCUUGCUUUUGAUGGGCGUCGACCGGCGUACGGGUGAGUAACGCGUAUCCAACCUGCCCAUCACUUGGGAAUAACCUUGCGAAAUUAAGACUAAUACCCAAUGAUAUCCCACGAAGGCAUCGGAAUGGGAUUAAAGAUUUAUCGGUGAUGGAUGGGGAUGCGUCUGAUUAGCUUGUUGGCGGGGUAACGGCCGACCAAGGCAACGAUCAGUAGGGGUUCUGAGGGGGAGGGCCCCCACGGGGGAACUGCGACACGGGCAAAACGACUACGCGAGGAAGCAGUGGGGAGGAUGGGGCGGUGAGCAAUGGCCUAAGCCUGCCAAGUAGAGGGCAGGAAGACGGGCGUAUGGGGUGUAAACUGCUGUUAUAAGGGAAUAACGUGGGUGACGAGUGACUUUUUGAAGGUACCUGAUAAAUAAGGACCGGCUAAUUCCGUG
rnacentral:rRNA from 1 species